rfam:Cricetulus griseus cell line CHO-K1, whole genome shotgun sequence.
AUACUUACCAGGCUGAGGAGAUGCCAUGAACACGAAGGUGUUUUCCCAGGAUGAAGCUUAUCCAUUGCACUACAAAUGUGCUGACCCCUGUGAUUUCCCCAAAUUCAGGAAACCUGACAUCAUAAUUAGCAGUACUGGGGGACUGCAUUCACUCUCUCCUUAA